AGGUCACAGAAGAGCUUUUCACAUGGGCUGUGCUUCCCCACAGGGAUGAUGCCACAUAACUUUGUUCAGAGGAGCAAGCAUUUCUAUAGGGCAGCCCACAUGGCCAGCUUUAGAGUGCUGGCAUUGAUUUCCAGCAUACCAGUAGGCAGUGCAGGCAAAGCUGGAAUUGCUGAUCCAUGUGUGUAUGCUGGGCAGGAUGCACAGUUUUUCUUCAAAAUCUCAACAGUGUGAACCAUUUAUGGCUGUGAUGCUACAAACCUCCUCCUGUUCCAUAAUUCCUCACCUUGCUGUGGUGCCCAGUGGUCCACAGGAGACGCUUCCUACUUUUUGAUGUGCUCCUUGAGUCAGAGGAAGACUGUAAUGAUGCAGUGGGAAAAGGGAAUGCCAACAUGGAAAGAUAAGUGAUUCAAAUUAUUCUACCUGGUGAUAAAUAUCUGGGUUUAUGACCCUUCCUUGUUGAUGACACAAGGUUUAAGAAGUGGCCUGCAUGUGCGUGACAGGUAAACAUUUUGUUUUCUAUAUGGGGAGAAAGACAUGGCAGAAGGUGUGUGGAAUGGAUCCAUGUGUACCUGGUAACUCUCCCUGCCCUGCUGUCGCUGAGCACCAAGGAGGAGCACAGGACAUCCAACAGCAGCACAUGGCUGCUCCACAUCCACGCGUGGCAGGAGGGAGGGCACGGGGCAGGGAGCAGGGGCUUGGUUCCACAUGCUUGCACUCAGAGCUCCACAGAGCAAAUCCCACCCCAGCAGAGCCAGUUCAAGGCAUUUCCACUCCCAGAUCCCAUAGAUAGUGACUCGUUGCAGUCUCUCCCUUCCCUGAUGAUUAGCACCCCUUUCACUUUGUCACAUCAGCUGUUGUAAGGGUGAAAAUCUAACCCUGGAUCAGUGAAAUAAUCUGAUUUUAAGCAAUGUUUUUUUCCAAAGAGAUUUAAAAUUUCAUGGAUCUGUCUUGGUGGUCAGUCAAAUACACCAUGAAACCAGUACAGCAGACCAGGAGCCAGUCUUCACAGAUCCCAGCAGAUUUGCUUUAGAUGAGGAAGGAGGCUCCCUCUUACACUCUGUCUGUGCAGCAAUCCAGUCUGAGAUCCUGAAACUGAUUGCUCAUUCCCAUGUUUCUCCCACUGCCAUCUACUCUCCUGCCUACCACCAGUUUAACCAUUAAACUAUUUUUAU